rnacentral:piRNA from 1 species
AACUAGGGCGUCAGUGUAGAAAAUUGG